rnacentral:ncRNA from 1 species
CAGAUUGAGGCGCAAUUGACAAAAGUAAUUAUAUGGAGCUAGCCAGCUAUGAAGUAUAGUAAAAGGGGAAAUUGCCGAAAUUUUGAUCUUGUGAGGCGGACAAAUCAAUUUUGGGAAUAUAGAUAAUAUCUAUAUAACUGUCAUUGGGUAUCCAAUGGUGUGCUUUCUGUU